UCCUCGCUUUUUAUGUACACAUAUCUUCAUCUGCUUGAUAUGCGCAUGUAUAUAAACUGUUCCUGUCAUGCAUUGUAGUCUGAUGAAGGCGGGACCCUGACCGAAACCUCAAUCAAUCCCUUCAUACGUGCGUCUACGUCACUGAACAGAUUUGCCCAGAUCCAGAAACGUUUUUUUCUGGUAUAUGUAUAUAGUACGUCCAUAUUUCCACGUUGAUCAGAGCGGCUGUAGAUCUCAGCACGGCCUGUGUUCCCGAAGAAGAAAGGUCAGACAUAGUCGCACUUUCGCCCAAGGGAUAUUCUCAGCGCCCCAUCGGCUAUGUACUGUCAACAGGGUUAUCCAAGCAUUCACCAAGGAAAGGUGCAUUUCGGACGCCCCACAUAGGCGUCGACCAAGUACAACGACGGACUAAGAGGACGCACUUAUGGUAGCUGCAGUCGUGGAUAUAACCCGUUUCAGUCGGCGAAGGAAGAGCGUGGGAGCUGCUGGAUGUCGACUCUUCCGUUGUUACCAUACGACGACGUCUAGGGUGUGGUGGACAGCGAAGUUCCGUGGCUGCGGAAAAGCCCAUCAUCGCACUCUUCGAACAAAGCUUCGAACAAAGUUCGAACACUCUUCGAACACGAUUGCAAUUGGCCGAAGCGCGUACCUCGUGGACUUCCGAUGACUGGGGUCGAGUGAUCUUGGAGGAGUCGACUUUUUGAACGCGUGAAACCAACGCGUGCGAAUGCGGCGACCAAGAAGGACAUGGUUACGAGCCAACCAAUGUGCAGGGAGUCGCCGCGAGCCGACGCACCUGCGUGAACGUGUGUUGCCCGGCGUUCAGGGCAUGGUCUCGGACCUCCACACCACAUCGAGGGUGCUCUUACUUCGCAGUGCUACUGUAGCGAAAUCUUGGGACAACACCCUCCCCACGUACGCCCGCAUCGCUUUCCCCGAUGCUGAAUCUGCUCCAGCAUGACCCUGCGCCGCUGCGCACUGCGAAGAUUGUGAAACAGCAGCUGGAAACCCGUAGAGUCCAUCUGCGAUUCUGGCCGGCCAAGGGGGCUGACAAGAACGUGUGCGAAAAUAUACGGGGGCGCAUAAGAGCAGCCAUGGUGCGACACCAGAUUUAUUCGGCGACUGCGGACAAGCUGUAGGUAGCUGUUUGCCAAAAGGCGGGAGCAUCCUGGAGCAAGUAACUUUGUGGCUGACCUAUGUCUUCAAUACCUGCUAGAAUGACAGCAGGUGCUGCUGCGAAAGGGGAUGUGCCAAAAUAUUAACGAAGUAUCAAGCAGCGAACAAUUGCGAUUUACAGCUGCCACUUCAAGAUUUUUCAACAUUUCUUGAAAAGUGCGCCAAAUAAAAGUUUGGAUGUUUGUGUUUCUUUGCGUGUUUUCUGCAUUG